rnacentral:snRNA from 1 species
GGAGGGAGAUCUGGCUGCACAUCUGUCACUCAUUGAUCACCAAAGUUGACUCAGCCUCUCCAGCUGACUAGACGGAUGUUCCCUUCCUCCUUCACAGCUCCAUGGGCCUCUCUCCAGAAGCUGCACGCUUGGCAGAAGAGGACUAGCUUCCCCGAAUAGAGGAGGACUAGGCCAAA